rnacentral:rRNA from 1 species
UACGUAGGGCGCGAGCGGUGUCCGGAAUUAUGGGGCGUAAAGAGCUCGUAGGCGGUCUGUUGCGUCGGCUGUGAAAACCCGGGGCUCAACUCCGGGCCUGCAGCCGAUACGGGCAGACUAGAGUUCGGCAGGGGAGACUGGAAUUCCUGGUGUAGCGGUGAAAUGCGCAGAUAUCAGGAGGAACACCGAUGGCGAAGGCAGGUCUCUGGGCAUUAACUGACGCUGAGGAGCGAAAGCAUGGGGAGCGAACAGG